CGGGGCGGAGUCUGCGGGCGCGGGCUGCUGCUUGCCGGAACUCCCUUGGUGCUCCCUCCAACCAGGGUGGCUCCGGGGAGCCCCCCCACCCUCAACCGCGUGGCGUAAUCCUGUUACGCCACACCUGGCCGUUGCUAUGGGCGGGGGAAUAUAGGGUCAGAGGAAAGUGGGGCUGGAAGGGGCCUCGUGGCGUCAUCGAGGCAGGGGCGUGGCUCCCUCUUGGGCGGGGCUGCUUGGCCCCGUGUUGGUGUAUGUCGGGGUGAAGCUGCGCUGCCAGGUCUUAAAUACGAAAUUAUUGUAUUGGAAGCUCAAAGUGAUUGUAUUUGCUGAACUGUCGUCCACUGAAAAAAUAGGCUCCAUAUGCAUUUUGAACUAACAGUCAUGGCAUCCAACAAGUUUGUUAUUAAGAAUGAACUGUAAAAGAAAUUGCAGUAAAAAUCAAGAAGCUGGCUACCAUGAAAGAAUUGAGAAGCUUGUUUGUGCCGGUGCUAGAUGACCUUCUUGUAACUGCCGCCUUCAUGCCAGUUCAUGACUAGGAGCUUCCAGACCUCAUAAUCCUGCUCCCGUCACCAUUACCUGGUCACCAAAGGGUGUGAGGAAUGUGCUACAAAAGUUAUUUUCAUGGAAAACGCCUGUACGUGACUUCUUUUAUUGUGGAGAAGCUGCUGCAUAUGAGCUUCCACAUGGUUCUUGACAGAAUGGGACCUUGAUCCAAUAUCAAGGAGACCAAAACAACUGGGGAUCUCAUUCCACUUCAAGUUUCAUCUGCCUUUGCAGCCAUUCAGAUUCUAACAUCUUCUACCUUCUCUGCCAUUGAGGAUUUGUAGACCAAUGGCUAGGGGCUGGGCAGGCUUAUUAUAGUAGCGACCUGUACUCACACCAUGUCACGGCACCAUCAAAGCAUAUGUGUGGCUUUUCAGGAAGGAAACCAUUGCCAUCUGCUGUCCUCAUCACAUCCUGGUGGUGGUGGUGGUGCUGCUUGGUCUGCAGCUACUUAUUUGUCAGAAGUACCUCUGCUUAUUUCACAGCUAAUCUUCCCUGAAGUUCAUUCCACUAUCUGUCACCUAUGGAGGCACUACGUAGCAGUACAGCUCUGCCCUGCAGCCCCACUGUACUAGUUUCUAUAUAAAUACAUAGUAAAAAUAUGGGGGUUUUGUCUCAAAUGACUUAUCUCUAAGAAGGUGGAUGCUAAAUAAAUGACGAGGAAAAGGAAUACAUCAUACUAACAAUAUGAGCUCCCCCUCUCUUUUCUUGUUACUGUGCAUUUCACUUAGUAGCAUAACUAAGGUGGGGCCACUGGGAUGGCAACCCUGGGUGCCAACCUUAGUGGUGGGGGAAAGAGGGGCACAGAAAAAGAACUGCUGUUGCUGCAUCUGUACAAUUGUACCAGUGGCAUAGCAGCAGCCAGAAAUUGCUGCUGCUUCCACACAUCCUUCUGUCCUGGGUUCCUAACGGCCUUGUUAUGCCUCUGACUUUAUUUUUAUUUUUAUGGGGUCCGAAUUGGAGUGAUGUAGAAUGGCUUAAGAGGAAAUAAGGGAUAUGAAAAAGAAAACAAGGGACUUUGAGGGUAAAAGAAAGACUUGGACAGCAUGAUUCAAAACUUGAUAAAAUUAAUGGAAGUCUCCUGACAGAUUUCAUUAGGUUGUGGAUCAGAAUUGGAACAAGGAUGGAAGAAUGAAUAUAGAGCUGUGAGAGAAAGGAUUGUAGCAGAAGAAAAGUAAGGGAAAGGGAUAGACAGAUAUUGGAGCUCAUACCAAUUAUAUGAGAACACUUUUGUGGGGUGGAAAAGUCACUGAUAUGGAGGAAAAGGCUGGUAUGACUUGCACUGUCUUUUGUUUUGAGUAAUUUAAAUAGAUUAAUGACCUUAAAACAAUAAACAAUAUUUGUUAUAUCAA